UACGAAGGGGGCUAGCGUUGCUCGGAAUCACUGGGCGUAAAGCGCACGUAGGCGGACUCUUAAGUCGGUGGUGAAAUCCUGGAGCUCAACUCCAGAACUGCCUUCGAUACUGGGAGUCUCGAGUCCGAGAGAGGUGAGUGGAACUGCGAGUGUAGAGGUGAAAUUCGUAGAUAUUCGGAAGAACACCAGUGGCGAAGGCGACUUACUGGACACAUAUUGACGCUGAGGUGCGAAAAGCGUGGGGAGCAAACAGG
rnacentral:rRNA from 1 species